GAGUUUGAUCAUGGCUCAGAACGAACGCUGGCGGCGUGCCUAACACAUGCAAGUCGAACGAGAAAAGGGGGGCAACCCUCUGAGUAAAGUGGCGCACGGGUGAGUAACACGUGGGCAACCUGCCCUUAAAUCUGGAAUAACUUCUGCGAAAGCGUUGCUAAUACCGGAUAACAUCCAUUGAACCCCGGUUCUUUGGAUCAAAGGUGACCUAUUCAUGAAAGUUGCCGUUUAAGGAUGGGCCCGCGUACCAUUAGCUAGUUGGUGAGGUAAAGGCCCACCAAGGCUACGAUGGUUAGCUGGUCUGAGAGGAUGAUCAGCCACACUGGAACUGGAACACGGUCCAGACUCCUACGGGAGGCAGCAGCGAGGAAUAUUGCACAAUGGGGGAAACCCUGACGCAGCAACGCCGCGUGAGUGACGAAGGCCCUCGGGUCGUAAAGCUCUGUCAAGUAGGACAAAAGUCUCACGGUAAAUAGCCGUGAGAUCUGAUGGUACCGCAAAAGGAAGCACCGGCUAACUCCGUGCCAGCAGCCGCGGUAAUAC
rnacentral:rRNA from 1 species